AUUGAACGCUGGCGGCAGGCCUAACACAUGCAAGUCGAACGAUAACAGGAAGAAGCUUGCUUCUUUGCUGACGAGUGGCGGACGGGUGAGUAAUGUCUGGGAAACUGCCUGAUGGAGGGGGAUAACUACUGGAAACGGUAGCUAAUACCGCAUAACGUCGCAAGACCAAAGAGGGGGACCUUCGGGCCUCUUGCCAUCGGAUGUGCCCAGAUGGGAUUAGCUAGUAGGUGGGGUAACGGCUCACCUAGGCGACGAUCCCUAGCUGGUCUGAGAGGAUGACCGGCCACACUGGAACUGAGACACGGUCCAGACUCCUAAGGGAGGCAGCAGUGGGGAAUAUUGCACAAUGGGCGCAAGCCUGAUGCAGCCAUGCCGCGUGUAUGAAGAAGGCCUUCGGGUUGUAAAGUACUUUCAGCGGGGAGGAAGGGAGUAAAGUUAAUACCUUUGCUCAUUGACGUUACCCGCAGAAGAAGCACCGGCUAACUCCGUG
rnacentral:rRNA from 1 species